GAUGAGAACGCAGCGAAAUGCGAUACUUGGUGUGAAUUGCAGAAUCCCGUGAACCAUCGAGUCUUUGAACGCAAGUUGCGCCUCAAGCCAUUAGGUUGAGGGCACGUCUGCCUGGGCGUCACAUAUCGUUGCCUGAUGCCAGUUUCCUCGUGAUGGGUGACUGUGCAGGGCGAAUGAUGGCUUCCCGUGAGCAUUGUUGCCUCAUGGUUGGUUGAAAAUUGAGUCCUUGGUAGGGAGCGCCGUGAUAGAUGGUGGUUGAGUGACGAACGAGACCCAAUCAUGUGAGACCCCUACCGAAUUUGGCCUUCAUGACCCACAUGCGUCUUUGGAACGCUCAUGACGAGACCUCAGGUCAGGCGGGGCUACCCGCUGAGUUUAAGCAUAUCAGUAAGCGGAGGA
rnacentral:misc_RNA from 1 species